GACGAACGCUGGCGGCGUGCUUAAUACAUGCAAGUCGAACGGAAAGGCCCUGCUUUUGCGGGGUGCUCGAGUGGCGAACGGGUGUGUAACACGUGUGUAACCUCCCCUUGACAUUGUGAUAACUUCACGAAACUGGGGCUAUAACAGCAUAUAAUCUCUUGCUCCAUGUUGGGGGUUGGUAAGUUUCGGCGGUUGGGGAUGGACUCGCUGCUUAUCCGCUGGUUGGUGUGGUAGGUGAUUACCAAGGUUUUGACGGGUAGCCUGCCUGAGAGGUGGACCGGCGACAUUGGGACUGAGAGACGGCGCAGACUCCUACGGGAGGCAGCAGUGGGGAAUAUUGCACAAUGGGCGGAAGCCUGAUGCAGCAACGCCGCGUGCGGGAUGACGGCCUUCGGGUUGUAAACCGCUUUCGCCUGUGACGAAGAGUGAGUGACGGUAAUGGGUAAAGAAGCAACGGCUAACUACGUG
rnacentral:rRNA from 1 species